CAAUAGCGUAUAUUAAAGUUGUUGCGGUUAAAAGCUCGUAGUUGGAUUUCUGCGGGGGACGAACGGUCCACCUUAUGGGUGAGUAUCUGUCAGGCCCUUGCAUCCUCGUGGGGAACGUCGCUGCGCUUUAUUGCGUGGUACGGAAUCCACGACUUUUACUUUGAGGAAAUUAGAGUGUUCACGGCAGGCAAACGCCCUGAAUAUGUUAGCAUGGAAUAAUAAUAUAGGACUUUGGUUUUAUUUUGUUGGUUUCUAGAACUAAAGUAAUGAUAAAUAGGGACAGUUGGGGGUAUUUGUAUUAAUGCGUCAGAGGUGGAAUUCUUGGAUUGCAUUACGACAAACUACUGCGAAAGCAUUUACCAAGGAUGUUUUCAUUGAUCAAGAACGAAAGUAUGGGGAUCGAAGACGAUUAGAUACCGU
rnacentral:rRNA from 1 species